AGCGAACGCUGGCGGCAUGCUUAACACAUGCAAGUCGCACGAGGGGGCAACCCCUAGUGGCGGACGGGUGAGUAACGCGUAGGUAUCUGUCCAUGGGUGGGGGAUAACAGCGGGAAACUGCUGCUAAUACCGCAUGACACCUGAGGGUCAAAGGCGCAAGUCGCCUGUGGAGGAGCCUGCGUCCGAUUAGCUUGUUGGUGGGGUAACGGCCUACCAAGGCGAUGAUCGGUAGCUGGUCUGAGAGGAUGAUCAGCCACACUGGGACUGAGACACGACCCAGACUCCUACGGGAGGCAGCAGUGGGGAAUAUUGGACAAUGGGCGCAAGCCUGAUCCAGCAAUGCCGCGUGGAUGAAGAAGGUCUUCGGAUUGUAAAGUCCUUUCGGCGGGGACGAUGAUGACGGUACCCGCAGAAGAAGCCCCGGCUAACUUCGUGCCAGCAGCCGCGGUAAU
rnacentral:rRNA from 1 species